rnacentral:lncRNA from 10 species
UUUUCUGUAUAUUAUUUAAAAUUUAAAAUUAGAAUUCCCUGUAAUAAGUUUUUUAAAAAUGGUAUAUUUGGGAUCUAGUAGCUCCAUGUGGCUGAGGCACAGGGACAUACAGGGCAGCAGGAUAUGGGACUAUGAAGGGAGUUAGGGUCUCAGGGGUGGUGCUUGGGCUAUAAAGUUCUUUUCAUGCAGGCAAAUGAGUUUCACACCACCCUGGAGACCUAGCGUUCUGAGGUGGAGCCUCUGGAGCAAGGAUGGGGGACAGGAGCUGAACAGAGGGGAUACUAGGAUAUUUUAACAAGAACAGCUUUGCUUCUAACUUUUAUUAAAUUGGGCUUCCAGGUAAUAUUUUGUUUAAAAACGGGAUUCUGAGGCUUCAAAAAAUUUCUCUGUAGCCAUUGAGAGAACAGUUGAAUAUUUUAAAGACCGUCACUUGAGCCAUAGUGCAGAAGAUUGGAGGUAGGGAAAUCAGCUGGGAGGCUAUUUUAAUAUAGCUGGGAGGCAAAUGAAUAAAGCAUUUGUUUUGAGAGGAAUUUAGCCAGUGAAGAUUUGGUCCCAGGAGGUAAACCUUUUAAGACAAUAUUUGUAAUUAUUAUUUCCCAGGCCAUACUCCUAGGGAAGACAACAAAGAGGGUGUGGAAAUAUGCUUACUCCUUGUAACAAGAAAGCCAGUCCUUCUUAGCACCCACUGGGGAAUAGGCUGGAACCCUGCUCCUUUCUCUUCUAUCUGGCUCUUGACAGAGCACACGGAGAACUAUGUCUCCCUUACAACUGUCUCAGCAUCUUCUUUGAUCAGAGUCUCCAGUCUGUCCUCCUGUGCACCAUAACUGAUAAUUUGGUGAGGUAGGGAGUGAUGCCAGCUGUUUGGGUUUACAGUGACCACUUCUAUUAUUGUUGCUCCGUUUCAACUAUAGCUGCUUUCAGUAUGCACCACCACAUCUACUUGACCGUACUCUACCUUCUUAUAGCAGCUUAAACUCCAGAGUGUAAGACCCCAACAACUAGCCAUCUCUUCUUCCCUUUUCUGUGAAAUCUUAGAGUCUGUCUGACUAGGCAAAUCCACUGACUUUCCCUCCUAGUAAUCUCCCUCAAAUGUAAUGUCUCACUGAGCCCUGCGCCUUUAAAACACACGGACACAUACUCAUGCAUCAAGCUGCUAACAGCUAAUAAAAAUGAACUAUUAACAUUCCAGACUCUGCUAGGUGCCUGUAAUCCUAACACUUUGGGAAGCUGAGGUGGGAGGAUCGCUUGAGCCCAGGAGUUUGAGACCAGCCUGGGCAACACAGUGAGGCCCCAUCUCUACAAAAAACCCAAAAAUUAGCCGGGUGUGGGAUCACGUGCCUGUAGUCCCAGCUACUCAGGAGGCUGAGGGAGAAGGAUCAUUUGAACAUGGAAGGUUGAGGCU